GAAUGUCCCCUGCCCAGGACAGGGCCCCAGCUGACCUCCCUCAUCAGGGGCUGCUGGCCCACUACCUGGCACCGCGAAGAGUAGCCCCCACAGGGCUGGCCUUUUUCUUUUACGAAGGACCCAGCCAUGUGAUGUCACUAUCCUCACACAAUCCUGUGGCCUGGCAUCAGUUUACAGAAGACAGUUUGGAUCCUCACAUGGCAGACCUGGGGGAAAGGUCAUGUGUGGCCUCCUGGAUUCCGUUUAUCAGCCCUGUGCAGAGGAGCUCUCCGGACCAAGCCGCUUCUCUGUUUUUGUACCAGUCCCUGUAACAGGCUUCUGUGAGGUGGGAGCAGCUGAGGAUUGCAGUUUCCUUCAAGGCCUAAUGAGGUGAAAGGGGCCUGGGGGUGGUUCAGGUCAGUGUGCUUGGAGC
rnacentral:lncRNA from 1 species